UACGGAGGAGGCAAGCGUUAUCCGGAAUUAUUGGGCGUAAAGCGUCCGUAGGUGGUUGACCAAGUCUACUGUCAAAGGGUGGGGCUUAACCUCAUAAAGGCAGUGGAAACUGGUGAGCUAGAGGGCGGUAGGGGUAAGGGGAAUUCCCAGUGUAGCCGUGAAAUGCGUAGAGAUUGGGAAGAACAUCGGUGGCGAAAGCGCCUUGCUGGGCCUGCACUGACACUGAGGGACGAAAGCUAGGGGAGCGAAAAGG
rnacentral:rRNA from 1 species